rnacentral:rRNA from 1 species
UACGGGGGGAGCAAGCGUUGUUCGGAUUUACUGGGCGUAAAGGGCGCGUAGGCGGCGCGACAAGUCACUUGUGAAAUCUCUGGGCUCAACCCAGAACGGUCAAGUGAUACUGUCGUGCUAGAGUGCGGAAGGGGCAACUGGAAUUCUUGGUGUAGCGGUGAAAUGCGUAGAUAUCAAGAGGAACACCUGCGGCGAAGGCGGGUUGCUGGGCCGACACGUGACGCUGAGGCGCGAAAGCCAGGGGAGGCGAACGGG